GAUGAACGCUAGCGGCAGGCUUAAUACAUGCAAGUCGUGGGGCAGCGCAGUGUAGCAAUACAUGGCGGCGACCGGCAAACGGGUGCGGAACACGUACACAACCUUCCUACAAGUGGGGAAUAGCCCAGAGAAAUUUGGAUUAAUACCCCGUAACAUAUAAAGAUGGCAUCAUUUUAUAUUAUAGCUACGGCGCUUGUUGAUGGGUGUGCGGCUGAUUAGGUAGUUGGCGGGGUAAUGGCCCACCAAGCCUGCGAUCAGUAGCUGAUGUGAGAGCAUGAUCAGCCACACGGGCACUGAGACACGGGCCCGACUCCUACGGGAGGCAGCAGUAAGGAAUAUUGGACAAUGGGCGGC
rnacentral:rRNA from 1 species